UACGAAGGGGGCUAGCGUUGCUCGGAAUCACUGGGCGUAAAGCGCACGUAGGCGGAUCUUUAAGUCAGGGGUGAAAUCCCGGAGCUCAACUCCGGAACUGCCUUUGAAACUGUCGGACUUGAGUCCGGGAGAGGGUAGUGGAAUUCCCAAUGUAGCGGUGAAAUGCGUAGAUAUUGGGAGGAACACCAGUGGCGAAGGCGGCUACCUGGACCGGAACUGACGCUGAUGCGCGAAAGCGUGGGGAGCAAACGGGG
rnacentral:rRNA from 1 species